rnacentral:rRNA from 1 species
CGAUGGGAAACGGGUUAAUAUUCCCGUACUUGGUGUUACUGCGAAGGGGGGACGGAGAAGGCUAUGUUGGCCGGGCGACGGUUGUCCCGGUUUAAGCGUGUAGGUGUGUGUUCCAGGUAAAUCCGGUUCACUUUAACACUGAGGCGUGACGACGAGGCACUACGGUGCUGAAGCAACAAAUGCCCUGCUUCCAGGAAAAGCCUCUAAGCAUCAGGUAACAUCAAAUCGUACCCCAAACCGACACAGGUGGUCAGGUAGAGAAUACCAAGGCGCUUGAGAGAACUCGGGUGAAGGAACUAGGCAAAAUGGUGCCGUAACUUCGGGAGAAGGCACGCUGACACGUAGGUGAAGUGAUUUACUCAUGGAGCUGAAGUCAGUCGAAGAUACCAGCUGGCUGCAACUGUUUAUUAAAAACACAGCACUGUGCAAACACGAAAGUGGACGUAUACGGUGUGACGCCUGCCCGGUGCCGGAAGGUUAAUUGAUGGGGUCAGCGCAAGCGAAGCUCCUGAUCGAAGCCCCGGUAAACGGCGGCCGUAACUAUAACGGUCCUAAGGUAGCGAAAUUCCUUGUCGGGUAAGUUCCGACCUGCACGAAUGGCGUAAUGAUGGCCAGGCUGUCUCCACCCGAGACUCAGUGAAAUUGAACUCGCUGUGAAGAUGCAGUGUACCCGCGGCAAGACGGAAAGACCCCGUGAACCUUUACUAUAGCUUGACACUGAACAUUGAGCCUUGAUGUGUAGGAUAGGUGGGAGGCUUUGAAGUGUGGACGCCAGUCUGCAUGGAGCCGACCUUGAAAUACCACCCUUUAAUGUUUGAUGUUCUAACGUGGACCCGUGAUCCGGGUUGCGGACAGUGUCUGGUGGGUAGUUUGACUGGGGCGGUCUCCUCCUAAAGAGUAACGGAGGAGCACGAAGGUUGGCUAAUCCUGGUCGGACAUCAGGAGGUUAGUGCAAUGGCAUAAGCCAGCUUGACUGCGAGCGUGACGGCGCGAGCAGGUGCGAAAGCAGGUCAUAGUGAUCCGGUGGUUCUGAAUGGAAGGGCCAUCGCUCAACGGAUAAAAGGUACUCCGGGGAUAACAGGCUGAUACCGCCCAAGAGUUCAUAUCGACGGCGGUGUUUGGCACCUCGAUGUCGGCUCAUCACAUCCUGGGGCUGAAGUAGGUCCCAAGGGUAUGGCUGUUCGCCAUUUAAAGUGGUACGCGAGCUGGGUUUAGAACGUCGUGAGACAGUUCGGUCCCUAUCUGCCGUGGGCGCUGGAGAACUGAGGGGGGCUGCUCCUAGUACGAGAGGACCGGAGUGGACGCAUCACUGGUGUUCGGGUUGUCAUGCCAAUGGCACUGCCCGGUAGCUAAAUGCGGAAGAGAUAAGUGCUGAAAGCAUCUAAGCACGAAACUUGCCCCGAG